rnacentral:rRNA from 1 species
UACAGAGGGAGUGAGUGUUGUUCGGAUUUAUUGGGUGUAAAGGGAGUGUAGGCGGGUGUCUAAGUCAGGGGUGAAAUGUUGGGGCUUAACCCUAAACUUGCCUUUGAUACUGGAUGCCUUGAGUAUGGAAGAGGGCGAUGGAAUUCCUGGUGUAGCGGUGGAAUGCGUAGAUAUCAGGAGGAACACCGAUAGCGAAGGCAGUCGCCUGGGACAAUACUGACGCUGAAACUCGAAAGCAUGGGGAG